GUGGGGAAUAUUGGACAAUGGGCGAAAGCCUGAUCCAGCCAUGCCACGUGUGUGAAGAAGGUCUUCGGAUUGUAAAGCACUUUAAGUUGGGAGGAAGGGCAGUAAGUUAAUACCUUGCUGUUUUGACGUUACCAACAGAAUAAGCACCGGCUAACUUCGUGCCAGCAGCCGCGGUAAUACGAAGGGUGCAAGCGUUAAUCGGAAUUACUGGGCGUAAAGCGCGCGUAGGUGGUUCAGCAAGUUGAAGGUGAAAUCCCCGGGCUCAACCUGGGAACUGCCUCCAAAACUACUGAGCUAGAGUACGGUAGAGGGUAGUGGAAUUUCCUGUGUAGCGGUGAAAUGCGUAGAUAUAGGAAGGAACACUCGUGGCGAAGGCGAGCUACUGGACAACAUCUGACGCUGAGGCUCGAAGGCCAGGGGAGCAAAAGGGAUUAGAAACCCGGGUAGUCC
rnacentral:rRNA from 1 species